ensembl:lncRNA
GUGUCUGUCACUUAAUGAACCACAUUACCCACGAUCCCUGUCUCCUCAUUGCACUCAGCUGUCACUGAUUAGUAAUCAUUGCUCACAGUCAAUUCCCCAUUAGCGUUUGUCAUGUCCCUGUGUAUUUAUACCGGUCUGUCUUAGUAUGUGUCACGGAGGCCUUGUUUAUUCUCGUCCGUCUCUUGUCGUGCUCUAGUCUUGUGUCCUUGUUUGUUUAUGUUGGAUAUGUUUGGUACUGACCCCUGCCUGGACUGUUUAUUCUUUGGAUUGCCCCUAAAUAAAGACGUACUCGCAUUUGGAUCUCUCACUGUGUCUCCUUGUAUCCCGGACGUGACAGAAGGACUCUGUCAACUUGAGAUCCAGCGGUAUGUCUGCUCACGUCUCCUCCCGAGCCACAGAGCGGGAGAGGAGCCGUUUUGAGGGAACUCGCCUGGUGGUCUUCCGGGGAACCAGGGGAGGUCGCCGAGGAGGGAGUGGUCGAGAGGAGGUUCAAUAUCGCUCUCAACCAUGGCCCCCCUUCGACCCUGGGCUCGUGUGUGACGGAUCGGAGCCACUGUCUCACCAUGGCGGACGGAGAGGGGAAAAGAAGCGCAGGUCCGCCAUGGUGGCGCCACUGCCCAUGAUGGCCGCAGGGCCAGCGCCACGAGGCAAGAUGGCCGAAUCUGCACCUGUGUCGCCAGACAAGAUGGCCGACUCAACGCCUGAGUCUCCAGACAAGGUGACACCGACUCGCCAUCAUAGAGGGCGGAGGAGGAGGGGACAGGCGUCUACCGUUCCUCAAAGCCCGGCGGACGUUCCCGAGCAGCCCGCUGCCGUCCCAGAGGCCGUUCCCGAGCAGCCCGCUGCCGUCCCGGAGGCGGCGCCUGAGGCAGAGGCCGAUACGGGGCCCGAGGCGGUUCUUGAAGCCGAGGCGGUUCCUGAGGCCGUUCCCGAGGCGGUGCCCGAUGCUGAGGCGGUUCCUGAGGCCGUUCCCGAGGCAGUGUCCGAU